GCAGCGCUUGGACACUGAGCGAUCCCACGGUGAGGACAGGGAUGGGGAGAGGGAGCGGGGAGGAGCAGGAGCCUCGCCUCGCUGCGGGAGGACGGGGACGGGGCUGCCGCGUGUUCCUGCUCCUGCACUUCGAGCUCUUUCACAGCUUUUGCCCGGCGGCGCUGGAGCCGGCCCAAGGAUGGACUGUCCUGGUGGGGAAUGGCCUCGGCAAGUGUUUUACAUCUUACGGUAACUGCCCAGGCCUGUCACAUGCCAGUUUGGAGAAAUUUCACAAAAUGAUUUUCACCUGAAUGUCUCUAGACUUAACGUUAUUUGUAGUUUUAACCUGUAAGCAGUGGAUGUAAACUCUAGAGUUAGUCUCUGAGUUUUGGGGAAAGCUUAAUAUGUCUUUCUGAGCUCAGUUUUGUCAACUGCAAAUCUGGUGUGUCUUUAGCUUUUCAGGGUUGCUUUAGGCCUAGUUUUAUUUUAAGCAGCAUGGUGAAUUUCUUUCCUUUAAAAAAAAAAAGCAUACCAUAGAAGCUAAAAAUAGGAGAUUAAGAGUUUUAUCUAACCACAACUUUGUGCAUUGCAUAGAAAAAGCUUCCAACAGGACAUGAUGAUGAAGCAGUUCAUGGCCAUGUUAAAGAAGAAUGAAAAUAAUCAUCCCCCUUCCACCAAGCUGUUGAAUCUAGCAGAACAGCUUUGCCAGGAGCUCCAGAGCUCAUCUCCUGAUCUGGAGAAGCUGGUUGGAGCUGUGAUGGGAUGCAAAAGCAAGACAUACUUUCUCACUAACAUCCACGUUGUCCGGGCUUGUGUGUCUGUUCAUAUCCAUAAAGGGGAACAUGAUGCAGCCUGCAAACUCCUGAAGUGUUGCAAGGCAGAAGAGAAGAAAGAGCUGGUGCAACUUUGGCAUGAGAUUCACUACCAGAGGUUUAUGGAGGAACACAAGACACAUUUUCUGACACCACUGCAGAAAUUCCGCUGCAGGAAGAGGAAUCCUCCACCCACUUCCCUUUGUCCUGAAGGUUUGAAGACUCGAAACUAUUCACAGGAAGUACGCCAGCACCUGCACAGGUUUGCUGCAGAGGUGACAGCAAAUCCAAACAAGAAACAGCGGGACAGAUUGGCUCAGGACAUGAACCUGCAGCCAACUCAGGUCUAUAAUUGGUUUGCAAAUUAUCGACGUCGAAAAUCCCGCCUCCUUCAUGUGAAAGUGUCCAACAAUUCAUGUCCUGAGAAGGCUUCAGCUCACAAAGAGCCACAGGAUAAAGGAUCCAACGCUCCACCAACUGCAGAUGGAUCUCCUGUGGGCAUCAGCCCUGAGCAAAUGGAUAUAACCCUCAUGCCCUGUGAGCCAGGACAGGAGCAGCCUCCUGAAGGAGAGUAUUUAAAUAUGCUGGAAUCCAGCUGUAUGCAGAGCCCUGAGCUGUUGUAUGAAGCUGGAACAAGCAUGGUUUUGUGCACCACUCACAGCGCUGAACAACCUGUACCUUUUGGCACUGAGGCUGUGAUGGAACCACAAACCUGCUCUGGCUCUCCUGUGCUGCUGCCUGGAGAAGCAGUGAGCAGGGCUGCUGCCAGCUUCUGUCAGGAGAGCUUUGUCCUGUGCUCUUAUGAGCCCCUUUCCGUUGUGAAUUAUUGUCUGCCCAUGUGGUGGGCCCCUUACAGCACCGGAGGAGUCUUUGGCUCUGUGUGGACCCCAGUUGUAGAAGCAGGUAUCAGAGCUCCCUUGAGCACAGCCCCUCAGGGUGGCUGUGUUGAAGCCAGUUCAGAAAGAAUCAUUCAGCAGUCAGAUUUACAGGAUGAAAGCUUAAUCCUUAGAGGAGGACAGCUAGGGACCCUGGAAUCUAUUCCCCACAGGUAAAGGGAGGGAAAGCACAGGGCUGCCUAAAGCCAGGAAUGAAAGUGAUGAUGUGAGUCCCGCCAUGUCUUGAUACCCCGUUGAAGAGAGUUGCAGAAAUGCUGACACACCUCAUUCCCAGGAACUGCUUCUCCUUGUGUCCAUUCUUUGCCAGUAUUUAUAUCUGUGCAUGGAUAAUGUUGUCAAAGUGUAUAUGUGUGUGUGUGUGCCACAAAGGAGAUUUGGAAUCGGCCUAAUCAAAAAAGAUGUGACACCCUGUUUUUAGGCAGGUUCAGUUUCUGAACUAUUUGCUUGGUUUUGACAGAAAAGCAUAACCUGUACUGAUCCCCAGUGAGGGCUGGUUCUGUGGGCUUGCUUGGUAGGGCCUGUACUUAAUCCUAAAAUAGUUUUUGUAGCUUCACAACCCCAUGACAAGAUUAUUCCAUAGUGCAAGCUUUCCAAAUUGGAAGGCAGAAAGACAGGCACUGUUCUCUCUUUCUGUUUUCCACCUAUAACAAAGGCUUCAGAUUUCAGAUUUUCUCUGGGAAUUGAGAGAAAUCCAGAGAAUGCAAAACAACAAAAAUUCAUGCCAUUUUCCAUAUGUUAUACAACUUCCAUAAUGUUACAUAAAAAUGAACACAAUAAACAUAGACAUUAUGGGCUUCCUUUAAUUUACUGAUCUGCAAGACAGAGCAGGAGCAGAAGCCCCAUUUUGUGACCCUUCUGCUUGACACAGCAUUUGUGCCAGCAUGACACUGUCAGUAUGUCAAAAAGGCAGGUAGAAAAAGCUUGAUUCCCAUUUUAAAAGUGAGGAAGAAGAGGCACAGAAGGCUUUGUGGCUUGUUAAAGAACAAGUAAAUGAAGUGAUUCACUGGAGAUAAAGACUGGUGAGACUUUGGCCCCAGUUCCCUGCUGAAAACAUUUCUGCCUUUUACCCGUUUCCCACUUGGCCUGGUGCCUUGUUCACAUUCAUGCCAGACUCCUUGCUCUGAAUUGCUGGGGAGAACCCAGGUCAGGCACUGUAAACCUGUUUUAGGUUUGCAAUGUUUUAAAACCUAUGUUUUAGGAUUCAGAGUUUUAAAGAGUGGCUAAAGAUCAUGAAAGAUCAGCAAGCCUUGCUGGCAAUAUUUUGGCUGGAUUUAAAAUUGCAUGUUCUGACUCUGGAGUGAGCUCAUGUUUAUUUUUAAAAUAUGUUCUGCCAGUAGAAGAAAUCUAUGGUGAAUGUCUCCUUGUUGGGUAUGUCAGUGUAGCAGGCAUCCACACACCCUUUAUCAUGUUCCUGUGAGGGGCAGGACUUGCUGCUUUGUUGGCACCUUUUGGUGAGGACAUAGUUACUUGAACCCUAUUUGUAAAUCCUCUUUAGUGGCCUGGCCCAGCUCCCCCCAAAACCUUGACCUCCUCAAAAUUCCAUGAAUGCUAUAGAACAUCAAUCUUUUUCAGAAGUGAGUGAUACUUAGGCUGCAAUUUCAUUCUGCAGUUUCUCUCUAGGGAGCCAGGAGAGCUCAUGUGGGUAGUCUUGGGCAAGAUCACUGCUCAGUCAGUGAGGACCACUCAGAGCCCUCCAACAGAGGCAGGGAUUAGAGAAGAGUAUUGUUACCAGAGUCCUCUUGAGCAAUGAGCACCACUCCUCUGGGAACUCAUGGGGGCAACAGAUCAAACUGUGAGGCAAAUGGGUGUUGCUGUCCUGGAAGGACAGGGCAGUGGUGUUAUCCUGGUUUUAGACGUAAGAGUAACACAAAGAGAAGGAAAUUAUUUAGCCAAGAUCACCUAUUUGGAAUGGACUUGGUGUUAUGCUCUCCUUGCUUCCUGAGCACUGGGAUAGAGCUACAAGUCAGCCAAAGGACCCUUAGUCUGGUUGUCUCAUUUUUAAAGAUGCUCACCUGGAAAGGACAUGGCCUCAAAGCUUAUCAGAACAAUUCCUGUUGAUUUCUUUCAUGGGCUUUUUACAGCCACUCCUACGCACUUGGGCUGUGUCCAAACCUCUUCUGCUCUACAGGGCUGUGAGGUGGGAGUGUGAGAGGGAGCCAGGCUGGAAGCUGACUGUCUCCAUCUGCUUCUGCUGCCUGAGAGGAGGGUUUGAUCCAGAUAGCAGACUGGAAGUCCCUGUGGGACACCAAGCAGAUGCUCCCCUUUACGGAUAGUGAUGGCGUAUCCUCUUCACUCUGCAACUUGGGACAGGUGGAACAUAGCCCAGCUAAUGGUUCUUUUGCAGAAUGGAAAUCUCAUGCCUUCCAUUUCAGAAAGAAAAGCACACUGAGCUCUAUGGAGCAAGGCAUUCUGUAUUUAUGAGCCAGCAUAUUGAUUAAGAAAAUGUCAGUGCCGAGAUGUUCAUGGCAGCUUACAGCUUCUGCCUGCAUUUCUGGGAUUCCAGCUCAGAGUGCUGGGAUUCCUCCUGAUGUUAGGCUCUCCCCUCUGGACAACCCAGCAUCCUGACAGCAGCAUGCAGCAAGUCCCAAACCUACCAACAGAGGCUACUUUUUGGUGUGUUGCAUAACUGAAAUGCAGAACUCGUUGCUAAGGGCACUGUGCAUGUUGGUGUAAGUGGGCUGUGAAAAAGCAUGAGACAAAUUCUUGAGAGGGUGGGAGAGGGAAUUGAGCCCAUUUGUCAUUAGGAAAUGUGACUCUGAAUGCAGUCUCCAGCAGAGGAGCCCCAAGGCUGGUUGCUGGAACCUGGGGAGCAUUCCAAGGGAGGGUGACUUGGCACUUAUCCUGUUGGUUCUUUUUUCCUGUACUCUGCUAGUGAGCACCUCUUGUCUGGGCCUCUAUGGACACUCACCUAUGGCACCUUGGGCAAUGCCUGCUGGUGGUACAGGGAGUGUUGUUGCAUUAGAGAGACUGUUGAGUUGUGAUGAUGGGGGAGAACAUCCCACUGUCUGCUACUUGACCCAGUGCCCACAGACUGAUCUGUUUUGAGAGGCUGGCAGAGCCUCCAGGGGAGUGUGGAUGGGGAAGUCGCAUCCCCAGACCUCACUGGUGGCCUUGGAAAGCUGUAGCAGAAGUGUAGCCAAUGUUGUGUCUAUGUCUAAAGCCACAUAUUUUGACUCUUAAGGUCUCUGCUUUUAAAACAUGUUCCAGGAGUGAGACAUUUUGGUAGACACCUCUUUGUUUAUGGAGAGUGUUUUGGGGCAGAAGGAAAAUUGAAAACUGAGAUGUGAUUCCCUAUAUGUUGCUCCUGGUCAGAGCAGUCUUCCCACUGCAGAAUGUGCAUUUUCAGACCAUAAGAAUUUUGAGAAAUGGUGCAGUUCCUCUCAGACUGUGUUUGGCAAGCCUCAAAGCCCACAUGUUUCUGCAGCCUAUGUGGAAGAAAGCCAAGCCCUGGGACAAAGCCAGGU